rfam:Oceanobacillus picturae, S1, WGS project CCAX01000000 data, contig: 000001
UUCUUAUCCAGAGAGGUGGAGGGACUGGCCCUACGAUACCUCGGCAGCAGCUCUUUUAGAGUAAUGUGCCAAUUCCAGAAGCGUAACGCUUGAAGAUAAGAA